AAAAAAGUGGAGACACAAAUCCAAAGAGUAGCGUGGUGGCAAUCAAAGAACCUCUCCUUCUAUUCCAUAUAUUAUCCGUCUACUAGUAAUCCAAAAUAAAUCCACCACACAGCACCCUCUUUCUUUUUUCUCUUGUAACUCUUCAAAUAUCUAACCAGAUUGAAUUUCAUUGUUUUUGAGAAGAUCACCUCUUUUUUUUUUUUUUUUUUUUUUUUUUUUAUGAGAUGAAGUAUGCGCAAAAUCCUCUCCACAACAAACCCAUCACCAUAGCAUAUGGAAGGCAAUGAAAACACCACUCAAAAGGAUUACUACAAAAUUUUGGAGGUUGAUUAUGAUGCAACAGAGGAGAAGAUAAGAUUAAAUUACCAAGGCUUGCAUUGGUUAGUGGUGCAUCUGUUCUGAGCAGCUUCUUAAAAGUGGCAUCCUGAUAAGCACAAGGGGGAUAAUGCAGUUACUACCAAAUUUCAAGAGAUCAACGAAGCUUACAAUGGUAAUUCUCAUUAUUGAGGGAUCCAGAUAAACGCUUCGAUUAUGACUUAACUGGAAUAUAUGAGAUCGAUAAGUAUACUUUGCGGGAAUAUCUGACCAGAUUUAAAGGAAUGAUACUUACGUGCAAUGGUCUUGGUAUUGGUAAUACAUCAAUAUGGUAAUCGCUUAAUGUCUUUCUCUAAUGAAAUUUCUUUGGAAGAGUGCUUCAUGUUCAAUGAACUUGUCUUGGCUUUAUGUUAGAUGGGAUGUCAAUGGAGUUCUCCUGUCAUAUGGAACCGUAAUUAGAAGGAUGCCUGUAUGGUUUGUGGUGAAUUUACUGGAAUUGAAAUUGUGGGACCCAGCAACUGACUGAAAUCAAAGAGCAUGCAGAAAAAUGAGGAGCAAAUCCAGUAUUUAACCGUUGGAUGAAAACAUGGAUACCAUUGUGUGAAAACAACAUGGGUACAGCUUCGCCAUAAAUGAAGGUGGAGCUACUUGCCAUGUUACAUCGAGGAUGAAAACGUGAAUCCAAUUUAUUGUCAGCAUUCAUGUAUCUUGUUUUUCUCUAUCAUACAUUUCAUGCACAAUCAAGUAUGACAUUAGCCUAUUGAUUUUGUUUUCAAAUGAGCACAAAGUCACUACACUAUUUGGUUCUUCUUUU